rnacentral:rRNA from 1 species
AUGACGAGAACCGGAUCAAGCGCCAAGAACAAGGAAUCCGUCCAGACCGAGAUCGACAUGGAAUCGAAGAGGUCGUCAACGGCGGCGGGGCACAUCGCUGACCUCCCCGAGCAGAUCUGGUGGGCAAUCCUCGAGCGACUCCCGCCCAAGUCAGUCCUGCGAUUUCGUGCUGUCUGCAAAUCUUGGCUCAACCGCAUCAGCAACAACAAUUUCCUCGAAGAAUACCAUGGGCGCCAAAAGCCACAGCACCUGAUCGUCCCAGUCGAUCCAGACAACACCAGGCAUAAGAUGAGUCACCGUGUAGAUGCUGUUGAUUUCCAGCACCCCGAGGACGGUUUCCGCUCCAUAAUCAGCUUCACCAGCUUUGGAGUAUUUGAGGUCUUUGAUCCAGAUGAAGAAACCGCAGAGCAUCUAAUGUCUGCCGUACAGGGCUCAAUUGGAGGCCUCCUCCUCGUCUCCUUCGAGCACAGGUGCUAUAUCUGCAACCCAGGUACAAAAGAAUCACGCCGCCUCCCACAGCUGGAUGACCAUGAAAUCUUGGGACUGUACAUGCUGGGCGAUGAGUUUAGGGUCCUCUAUCUCAAGGAAGAUGAGGAGGGUGAUGCCGAAUUCUUCGUCCUGUCAGUGCAUCAAUCUCUUAGCAAUAAAUCCAUUGGGUACUGCCCUGUGUCGCCCGCGGCGAAUCUGCCAGAAAUUGAUGGACCGAAGAAGCUGGGGUUCAGCCUGCAGAGUUCGGCAAUUGAGCCGCCUGCCAUGGUCGGGGCCAACCUUUAUUGGGCACCGUUGGAGCUGUGGCCACGGGAAAUUACAGUUUUUGAUUACCAGUCUGAGCUUUUUCACUGGAUGAAGCUUCCCAAGACCAAGGAGCGCUCCAAGAGCAACACCAACAAUACGAUGAAGGUUCUUGAGUUGGACGGCGAGUUGGGGUUGUCUCUUCACAGGAGGGGUGAAUCAAGUGUUGAGCUAUGGGUAUUAGAUUCUCUGAAGAUGUGGGAGCUCAAACACAGUAUUCAGUUGCCGGUUGCAGAUAUCACUGGCUUUGGAGCACAUACCUGGGAUCCCUUUCUUAUGUCCAUGGAUGGAGGUGUGAUCGUAAGGUGCGUGUCCCAGGGCCAGGGCCAGGGAGGGGAAGGCCAACAAGGCACUCAGGCGCUCCUGUACUGCAACAGACACGGAGAGCUAGCGCCUGGACCACUGUUCGUAGGCGAUUUGGCUGCGCCUGCCAUACACCUAUUCAAGCAAAGCAUUAGGCGACAUGCCCUGUUCCAGGGGCAUCAGCAAGAUGCUACGUCUCCCUUGUCACUCUUCCGGGACCUCUAG